rnacentral:rRNA from 1 species
CACCAGACUCCUACGGGAGGCAGCAGUGGGGAAUAUUGCACAAUGGGGGAAACCCUGAUGCAGCGACGCCGCGUGAGUGAAGAAGUAUUUCGGUAUGUAAAGCUCUAUCAGCAGGGAAGAAAAUGACGGUACCUGAUUAAGAAGCCCCGGCUAACUACGUGCCAGCAGCCGCGGUAAUACGUAGGGGGCAAGCGUUAUCCGGAUUUACUGGGUGUAAAGGGAGCGUAGACGGCAGGGCAAGUCUGGAGUGAAAGCCCGGGGCCCAACCCCGGGACUGCUUUGGAAACUGCCAUGCUAGAGUGCUGGAGAGGUAAGCGGAAUUCCUAGUGUAGCGGUGAAAUGCGUAGAUAUUAGGAGGAACACCAGUGGCGAAGGCGGCUUGCUGGACAGUAACUGACGUUGAGGCUCGAAAGCGUGGGGAGCAAACAGGAUUAGAUACCCUGGUA